rnacentral:rRNA from 1 species
GAACGGCAGCACAGUAAGAGCUUGCUCUUAUGGGUGGCGAGUGGCGGACGGGUGAGGAAUACAUCGGAAUCUACCUUUUCGUGGGGGAUAACGUAGGGAAACUUACGCUAAUACCGCAUACGACCUUCGGGUGAAAGCAGGGGACCUUCGGGCCUUGCGCGGAUAGAUGAGCCGAUGUCGGAUUAGCUAGUUGGCGGGGUAAAGGCCCACCAAGGCGACGAUCCGUAGCUGGUCUGAGAGGAUGAUCAGCCACACUGGAACUGAGACACGGUCCAGACUCCUACGGGAGGCAGCAGUGGGGAAUAUUGGACAAUGGGCGCAAGCCUGAUCCAGCCAUACCGCGUGGGUGAAGAAGGCCUUCGGGUUGUAAAGCCCUUUUGUUGGGAAAGAAAAGCAGUCGAUUAAUACUCGGUUG